UCUUGAAUUCAGAUCUGCCCUCACACAUAUACUAGCUGUGUGAUCUUGGGCAAGUCAUUUAUCCCUAUUUGUCUCAGUUUCCUCAUGUGUAAAGUAAUCCGGAGAAGGAAAUGACAAACCACUACAUGAUCUUUGCCAUGAAAACCCCAAAUGAUGUCACAAAGUAUCUGACACAUCUGAGAAACUACUGAGCAACAACAAAUACAGUGGACUAGGAUGCUGGAAAUGAAGAGGGUGAGUUAAGCUCUGCACAUUCUCACAACUUCAAAAAGGACUGUAAUAAUUAAGGAAGAUGUGGUGAAGACAUGGAAGGCAGGGUUCAGUAACAGGGGCUGGUUUUACCAGAAAUGUAAAGGUAACCCCAAGGGAAGAUGAAGAAAAUGUCAUCAACUCCUGACCCUGCAGCCCCUUCCAUGAUGGUGUUCCCAGUGACAAAAAAAAGCCAGGGGACCACAGAUGAAGAUGCUACUGUCAGAACACUGGAGCUAAAAAGACCCUUUCACAGCAUCUAGUUGAACCUCCUUAUUUAAAUACAAAGAAACUGAAACCCAGAAAAGCUAUGAACCUUGGUAAAAGUCACAAAGAUGGGAAGUAAGAUAGUUUGGAUUCAAAUUCAAGUCUCUUUCGGGCUCUACAUCCAGUGGUCCUUGAGAGUCAGAUCCUUAGUGACAAAAUGACUUCCAAUUUCAUAUAAUGUGCAUCAACCCAUGAAUGCAAAUUUUUUUUGGGGGGGUUGUCUGUGUGUAGACUAAAGAGUUCUUAACUUGGA
rnacentral:lncRNA from 1 species